UACAGAGGGUGCAAGCGUUGUUCGGAAUUAUUGGGCGUAAAGGGAGUGUAGGCGGUUUGAUAAGUCUUCUGUGAAAUCUACGGGCUUAGCCUGUAAAGUGCAGAGGAAACUGUCAGACUUGAGUGUCGGAGAGGGCAGGGGAAUACCCAGUGUAGAGGUGAAAUUCGUAGAGAUUGGGUGGAACACCAGUGGCGAAGGCGCCUGCCUGGCUGACAACUGACGCUGAGACUCGAAAGCAUGGGGAGCAAACAGG
rnacentral:rRNA from 1 species